rnacentral:rRNA from 1 species
UACGUAGGGCGCGAGCGUUAAUCGGAAUUACUGGGCGUAAAGCGUGCGCAGGCGGUUUUGUAAGCCAGAUGUGAAAUCCCCGGGCUUAACCUGGGAAUGGCCAUGGAAACUGGCGAACUGGAGUGUGGCAGAGGGGGGUGGAAUUCCGCGUGUAGCAGUGAAAUGCGUAGAGAUGCGGAGGAACACCGAUGGCGAAGGCAGCCCCCUGGGCUAGCACUGACGCUCAGGCACGAAAGCGUGGGGAGCAAACAGG